UCAAAUCAAAUGCAGGAAAGUUGGAUAAGGAUUUUCAGUUGAUAAUCAUCCUUCGAUUCAUCACCACAUGACCCCUUCUGUGGCAUCAUUUUCCUUCAUGUCCCUUUAGAGAGAAGGCAACUUGAAUAGAGCUAAAGGGACUGAUCAAUGGAGAAAUAAAUAAAGAUUGACAGUGCGAUGCAGUCGACAUACACAUAAAGAAGGUAAACCGAGUUUCAUAUCCAUUUAUAUAUAUAUAACUUGAAGAGCUCUCCAAAAAUCAAACAAGAAAGAACAAACAAUGAAAACAAGAAGCACAAAACCGUUAGGAGCUAACAGCAGAAAAUCUUGCUCCUUUAUCGGAGUUAAACUUGCCGUUAAACUACUGCAUAAGUAUAUAAUCUUUUUCCUCAGUCAAGGAACCAAAAAUUGCUGCAGAAUCUGGAAAUCUGUUAAUGCAAAGGGUGGACAUUUUUCAGUGAUUGCCAUUGGCAAUGGGGAGCCUAAGAAAUUCUCGGUUGCAUUGGAUUAUUUGUGGUAUCCUCCUUUUGUAAGGUUACUUGAAGCAGCUGAGAAAGAAUUCGGAUUUGAUCAGCAAGGUGUGUUGGCCAUACCUUGCGAAGCCAGUGAGCUUCGAAACAUAUUAUUGCAAGUUCCUGAAAUGAAAAACUUUCUCGAGAUUGUUAUUCAUGCAGGGCACUUCGAAUUUCGAAUGAAGAAAUAAUUUUUAAAAAAAUUUCGACAUUCGUGGUGGUUCAAGUUCUUCCAUUCUGGUAAGGCAGGGUACAAAUGAUGAAUCAUCCAGCAAGAUAUUAGCAUUGGGUCGAACUCUUCUUUAGUGUCAAGAUCUUAUAUUCAAGAAUGAUUAAGAAAAUGACAUCAUGUAAUGUUUGUUCACAAAAGUUGUAACAGUAAAGUGUAAGAAAAGAUUAUUGUAAUUUACACAAAUUACUGUCAACGAUUAAAAAAAAAAAAGGACUUUAGCUUAUUUAAUUAAAGUCAAAUAUUAAUUUAACUAGUAUCUAUUUAUCUAUUAAACACUUCGAAGAAUUCAAUAUUAUCUAUUUGUCUCUAAAGCUUAUUUUUAAGUAUUGACUCUUAAAAAAAGUGAACAUCACUUGUAUCUUAUAUUUAGUGAGUUUCUUAAUAGUUUUUGUUAAGGUUAUUGAUUGAAUGGUCAUAUUAAAAUCACAGCACAAAGUUGUGAUUAAAUUAAAUUAAAUUAAAAUUGGGUGACCAAUAUGAAAUAAACUCGUAAAUAGACGGGCGUCCAAUGAAAUUUUCUCAAAAAUAAAAACAAUCGGAUAAGUUGAAAGAACACUACUCACGCCGAGAGAGAAGAGAGAAUAGUAGAAUGGAGAAGUACUUUGGGAACGCUUAUCGUGGCGACCCGGGGGUUCCACAUUCCGACCCGGACCGCUUCGUCAACAUAUGGAUCGGGUCUGCCGCUUUCUCCGCCCUCACCUGGAUUAACCCUUACAUGUGGCAACUUUCCAACCAAUUCAAGUAACUUUCACUCGCUUUUAUCGUCGCAUACACUGUUUAUUUGUUUCCAUCCAUUUAUAUAUUUAUGUUAUGGUGUAAUUUAAUUUUUAGGGUCUUCGUUAAUUUUUUGAUUUAUUUUUACUCAUGUUAAUUUUUUAGUUAGGGUUUGGGAUAUGCUCUUGGAAAAAGAAUUGUUUUUUAUGCAGGUGUUUGAGCCACUUGAAUGUAAAUUUGAAAACACCGAUUCUGUGAAUAUACAUAAGCAUGUACGGACACUGCCCAUGUUUAUUUUACACUAAUAAUUUUGAGAAAAAAGAUAUUUGUUCAAUACUGAUUAUUAUUAUUAUUUUUUUUUGGGAGUUAUUAAGCUACAAAAUUUUUAGGUGAACUUUCUCUAUUCCUGACAAAGAUAUUCCUGUUUCUUUUUUCUGUCUUAAUAAUAAUAUUUGUUAACAUUGAGAUUGAGAGAAUGUUUUGUUGACAUCAAAAAAUGUACUCUCUAAGGUGGCCAACAGAUCCAAAGACCUUUAAUGUCCAUGGAAGCCGUGUUUCUGCACAUUAGGACAAAUCGUUAGCUGCACGUGACCAUAGUGGUGGAGUUGGCCUCACACACUCCGAUGGUCAAAUCAGUAGGAGAAGUAAAUAUGUGUGUGUGGGAAGGCUUUAAACGUAAGACCCAUUAUAAAAAGGGGGUCGGUUUUGGGAAUUAAAGAAUAAAAUAGUGAUAUGACCAAGUUGUAGUUUGAGAGCUUAAAGUUGGCAUGGGUUUUUAUAGUGGAAGAGGAUGAACAAGGACCGUUGGUUGAAGAGACACGUGGCCUUAUCUUAGCAUAUGGGGCCUCUUGUCGUAGGUAUCAUUCAAUUAGACCUAGACUCAAAUGCAUUUAACGCUAUAACCAUAUGUAGCCUUGGGCCUAGCAAGUAAGAAUAGACUUGACUUGUUGAUUGAGUACAGCCGCUUAUCCAGUGAGUUCACCCACUUGUUACAAGAUCUUGUAAGAAGAUCUUUCAUAGGAUGCUUCUCCCUGCCUCGCCUCAUCCAUGAGGGUUUGGCUCCCCUGGGGUUCGGCUAGUAUAGAUUCGGUCAGAUUGUCACGUGCAGAAUGAUGUGGAGUGCGGGCCUAGGUUCUCUCGUUGUGCGACUCCCACUUGGCAAUACUUAGAGCCUUGUUGAAAGAGGCGUAACAUGUUUCGGUCUAUCCCUUCAAAACACUGGUUCGAAUUUCCGAAAAUGUUAACUUUCUCAAGAAGUGUUUUUGUGAAUGACAUCAAAUAUGAGAAUGGGAUAUUGAUCACCGCGCUAUGCAUGUUCAGAUUUCAGUCUGCUCGCCUUGCAAAGUUCAAAUCCCUAAAAAGAUGAGCAAUUUUUUUCUUGUGAAUUUCAAAACAAUGUUAGAUGCUAUAUCUAAGUUCUGGUAUCAAGUUCCAUAACGUAUAACCUUAAUUAGGCUUACUUUAGAAUUAAGAUGCAUAACUAUCAGGGUUUGUGGCAUUUGUUAAGGAUGAUAAGAAUUCUUCUUCGGGAUAGGGCCUUGAAUAUCUCUUUCAAUAUUCAAGAGUCCUGAAAAAUAGAAAGGAGAUUUGUAAAUUUGUGAUUAUCAUGCAUCAAGGUAAAUAUUUUAAGCCGCUACUAUAUGUUUACUUCUUCAUUUCUUUUGCUUAUUCCUUAAAACUUUUGUGGUAUUCUAAAUAAAUUCAUGCCUUUAACGUUUAAAUUUUAUCUUAUUUGCAUUUGAAAAUGAUUGGGAACUCUGGCCGAGUAUUCAUUUUGUGACCCAUGGUUCUUUGCUAUUUAUUUUCUUCCUGUUUCAUUUAUUCAUCUGCACUCUCUGAAUUUUUUCUACCUAAAAAGUUUGUCCACUUGGUCUGCGUCAUUUGAACAUGGCUCGCCAUUUCGAUAAUUGAUGUGUAAGGGCAAGAGAAACCAUUCCAUAGAUUAGGCAUACAAUAAUGGCAUACAAAGUCCAUUUUGGUGGAGGGGCGAGAAAGUGCCUUAUUCACUGGAACAGCAUUUCACAUUUUCUGAAGAAGAGAAUGAGCUAAAUUUAAAGCACGAGAGAUUUGUUUGCUGUAUGAGGAUUGAAGGGAUGGAUCAAUCUUCAAAUUGUUUUUACUUGGCUAUUGGCAAGAAUUUUGUCAAUGUCCUUUACAAUAGUCUUAGAACAAGAGAUAGGUCUGUAAUCUCUAAAGUCUUACUCCUUACUUCGGAUUCAAUAAGAUAUAUGUUAGUGAUGCUUCGACUAAUUCUUCACUCUUGGGUAUGUUGGGAGGUCAAUCUUAUGAUCUUGGUUUGAGCCCGGUCAGUCCCAAAAUCCUUCUUUCUUUUAUAUUACUAAAAUGAGAACAAUGAAUUAUUACUGUUUUAACCUUACUCUCUCUCUCUCUCUCUCUCUCUCUCAUUUACCGAGUACUCAAAUUUUCUAUGAAUAGGAUACAGAUUAUAUAUUUUAGGCAGCACACUUACCUGUAGACUUCUACCCACUUUGAGCAAUUCUUGGCUGAUAAGUUGCAUCAAACAUAGAUAGUUCAAUUCUAACAACAAGAUGCAUAUCAAUUGGGCUCAUUUUAGAUCCAGGUGAUGAUGCUUAAAUUACCACUGUGAAUAUUUGGGUAAUCUGCAUCUUAAGUUUAUGAUAUGGAAGAACUGUUGCAAUAUUAAAAUGGAUGGUGGGAAAUAACUGGAACGGGCUCCACUGCCGGGGAGAUGUAAGGCUAUUGUACGCACAAGAAUCCACUUUGAUCUUUCUGGUUAGCCCAGAGUAUGAGGGUGGCUGAGUACAUUUUCAUCUUCUCAUGUUUUGUGUGUUGUUUAUAUUAAUUCUUAAAAGAUUUUCUUCUGAUUUCUCUGUUUCUAAUUUGGAUCUUGCUAUGCAAUUGUACCCACUUUCUUGGACUUUCAGACCUGUAGAAGGUACUUGCUUUGAGUUGGAUCUACUACUAUGUUAAUUCUGGACCUUUUCUAACUACUUUUUACAUUGAAGUUCCAUGAAUGCUUUUGGUUUGCUUUUUGCCUCAUGUUGCACAUUUGACUUCAAUCUGCAGUUGGCAUGACAAAGCUAUGCUAUAUGAGCAAUAUCAUUGGAAGAAAGCACGUGAAAAGAAACAACCAUACAAAUUUCUGGUACUUUAAACUCUAUUAGUUUCAAAUUCUUUAACAGCAACUUCGAGGAAGACGGAUAUUUCAUGAUGGCUUCCGCAGUGAUAUAAGUUCCUCUAUCUCAUUACAUUUUUUAUUUUAUUUUUUCCUUCUGGCAGUGGAAUCAGAUGGACAGAGAAGUACGAGACUCAUACUACUUCAACUGGCCGGUCUACUUUCCUUAGACUUCCAGGCGCUCUUAUUGUUUCUGAACUUCCCCUAAAGAAUCGACUAUUCCAAUUCUCUCUCGCCCCCUCUUCCCAGUCACAUGCCCUUCCCCCUAAGAAAAUUGAAGUAAAACUUUGUGGCUUGGAACAUCUCUUGAUAUUUGGAUAUUCGGUGCUCUUAUUUUAUAUUGUUGUCUGUCAGAAUUCGUUUGAGUCGUGGCAUACGUACCCAUUUAAUUAGGGAGGCUCAGUUUCAAAAUUUGGUUGCAAACCACCUUUUCCCCCGCCCCGAUUCCUGAUCUUGUUGGGGCUGACAGUAAGCCGUAAGGCUAUUGACGAAGUGCCUGUGCCACCCCUAGAGAGUAUUCCAAAUGUAAAAUCUGUGAACGUUAUAUGCCACCUGAUCAGGCAAAAUACAGGAUUUCAUCCGACAACAUUUGUUAUCACUGACUUGAACAAGAAACAACACACUAUGAUGAAUUAAUUCAGAAAUUUUCAAUUAGGAUAUGUCCAGUUGAAAAUCGAAAUUUUGAAAAAAAUAUUGAUGUUUUCAUUUUGAAAACUGGAAUUAAGUUUAUAAUUUUAGAUGUUUG
rnacentral:lncRNA from 1 species